GAUGAACGCUAGCGGCAGGCUUAAUACAUGCAAGUCGAGGAGCAGCAUGACUGUAGCAAUACAGUUGAUGGCGACCGGCAAACGGGUGCGGAACACGUACACAACCUUCCUUUAAGUGGGGAAUAGCCCAGAGAAAUUUGGAUUAAUACCCCGUAACAUAAUGAAAAGGCAUCUUUUUGUUAUUAUAGCAGCAAUGCGCUUGAAGAUGGGUGUGCGGCUGAUUAGAUAGUUGGCGGGGUAACGGCCCACCAAGUCUGCGAUCAGUAACUGGUGUGAGAGCACGACCAGUCACACGGGCACUGAGACACGGGCCCGACUCCUACGGGAGGCAGCAGUAAGGAAUAUUGGUCAAUGGACGCAAGUCUGAACCAGCCAUGCCGCGUGGAGGAUGAAGGUCCUCUGGAUUGUAAACUUCUUUUAUUUGGGAAGAAAUCUACCUUUUCUUGGGUAGUUGACGGUACCAGAUGAAUAAGCACCGGCUAACUCCGUGCCAGCAGCCGCGGUAACAC
rnacentral:rRNA from 1 species